rnacentral:rRNA from 1 species
AUGCUUGAUGAAUUGAGUGGCUCUACAAUAUUCUCCAAAGUUGAUUUGCGUAGUGGAUACCAUCAAAUUCGUAUGAAAUUGGGAGAUGAAUGGAAAACAGCAUUUAAAACUAAGUUUGGAUUAUAUGAGUGGUUAGUCAUGCCUUUUGGGUUAACUAAUGCACCUAGUACUUUCAUGAGAUUAAUGAACGAAGUUUUACGUGCUUUCAUUGGACGAUUUGUGGUAGUUUACUUUGAUGACAUAUUGAUUUAUAGCAAAUCUUUGGAGGAACAUUUGGAACAUUUACGUGCUGUUUUUAUUGCUCUACGUGAUGCACGUUUGUUUGGUAACCUUGGGAAGUGCACUUUUUGCACCGACCGAGUGUCUUUUCUUGGCUAUGUUGUUACUCCACAGGGAAUUGAAGUUGAUAAAGCCAAGAUUGAAGCUAUUGAGAGUUGGCCGCAGCCCAAAACGGUCACACAAGUGAGGAGUUUUCUAGGCCUCGCAGGAUUCUAUAGGCGUUUUGUGAGAGAUUUCAGCACCAUUGCUGCACCUCUCAAUGAGCUUACAAAGAAGGAUGUGCCUUUUGUU